CCGCUCACAGUCCUCCACGGAGGAUGACUCAGUGGACUCUCUGCUCUCUGACAGAUAUGUGGUGGUGUCUGGGACCCCGGAGAAGAUCUUGGAGCACCUUUUGAAUGACUUACACCUGGCAGAGGUUCAGCACAAAGAAACAGGUAAGCCGGGGUGUGGGAGGUUGGGGGCUGGGGAGGGGUCUCCUGCCUUCAGAGCAGCAGCAGCAGCUGAUGCCCUGUCAGUAUCCCCAGAAGCGAAGCUCCCACUGUUUUGGAAAGCAUAUGCUUUGUGUGGCUCUCCUUAUGCCUCUGCUGUUUGUUUCAAUCCAGUAAAUGGACACAUGUAGUUCUUGAACAGCUGCCUGGGAAGUAGCUGUAGAAAGAUAAUGAGGUGAGGGCAGAUGUGUGUACUUGGUAAUUUUUGUCAAAUCUCACCUUAAAGCCACUUGGCGGUAAGCCAGUAUUCAGUAGCUCCUGUGCUAUGAAAAGCAGCACAAGGCGAGGGGGCCAUGAAGGGGCUUUCACCUGGUCUGUAGGAAUUCCCGAAUGAGUCGUGAGAGUGGCUUCCCUGCCCAAAUGCAAACAAUUUGCAACCUCUCAGCGGC
rnacentral:lncRNA from 1 species